rnacentral:tRNA from 1 species
GGGCCUAUAGUUCAGUGGAUAGAAUAACAGGUUUCGGCCCUGUUGACCGAGGUUCGAAUCCUCGUAGGCUCA